GGAGAGGUGGCUGAGCGGUUGAAAGCGCCGGUCUCGAAAACCGGUUUGGCCGAAAGGUCAACGUGAGUUCAAAUCUCACCCUCUCCGCCA
rnacentral:tRNA from 1 species